rnacentral:rRNA from 1 species
UACGUAGGGUGCGAGCGUUGUCCGGAAUUAUUGGGCGUAAAGGGCUCGUAGGCGGUUUGUCGCGUCGGGAGUGAAAACCUCGGGCUUAACUCGGGGCUUGCUUUCGAUACGGGCAGACUGGAGGUAUGCAGGGGAGAACGGAAUUCCUGGUGUAGCGGUGAAAUGCGCAGAUAUCAGGAGGAACACCGGUGGCGAAGGCGGUUCUCUGGGCAUUACCUGACGCUGAGGAGCGAAAGUGUGGGGAGCGAGCAGG